rnacentral:rRNA from 1 species
AGGUAAGAGUGGGCGUGCGUGCUUAUUAGCUUAGGUUGGUGAAGGGUAACGGCUCCAACCGAAGGCCUAACGAUAGCGGUAGGGGGCGUGAGAGCGUGGCCCCCACACGGGUACUGAGACACGGACCCGACUCCUACGGGAGGCAGCAGUAAGGAAUAUUGGACAAUGGUCGAAAGACUGAUCCAGCCAUCCCGCGUGCAGGAUGACUGCCCUAUGGGUUGUAAACUGCUUUUAUAUGGGAAGAAUAGCAUAGAUUCAUCUGUGUAUGACGGUACCAUAUGAAUAAGCACCGGCUAACUCCGUG